UAGUAGUGGGUGUAGCGUACCUACUAGCCUACGACGGGUACGGGUUGUGAGAGCAAGAGCCCGGAGAUGGAUUCUGAGACACGAAUCCAGGCCCUACGGGGUGCAGCAGGCGCGAAAACUUUACAAUGCCGGCAACGGCGAUAAGGGGACCUCGAGUGCCAGGUUACAAAUCUGGCUGUCGUGAUGCCUAAAAAGCAUUGCAUAGCAAGGGCCGGGCAAGACCGGUGCCAGCCGCCGCGGUAACACCGGCGGCUCGAGUGGUAACCGUUAUUAUUGGGUCUAAAGGGUCUGUAGCCGGCCGGAUAAGUCUCUUGAGAAAUCUGGCAGCUUAACUGUCAGGCUUUCAGGAGAUACUGUCUGGCUCGAGGCCGGGAGAGGUGAGAGGUACUUCAGGGGUAGGGGUGAAAUCUUGUAAUCCUUGAAGGACCACCAGUGGCGAAGGCGUCUCACCAGAACGGACCUGACGGCAAGGGACGAAAGCUAGGGGCACGAACCGGAUUAGAUACCCGGGUAGUCCUAGCCGUAAACGAUACUCGCUAGGUGUCGGCCACGGUGCGACCGUUGUCGGUGCCGUAGGGAAGCCGUGAAGCGAGC
rnacentral:rRNA from 1 species